UCCACAGCAGCAGGUGGAGGGAGCCCCCGGGGUGCACACCCGCAGAACACCGCGAACCCGGGCAGCCCUGUACCCACAGUGGGUGCUGCGCCUCAAAAGGCAGCCUGCCAAAUGCCACGACCAACGGACCCCAGGGACCCCGGGACGUCAUGGGAGUGAAGCAGCCCAGCGGCCAGCGGAAAGGCCAGCCUUUGGAGGACAGUGACGUGUACCCACCAGCACAGCAUCCUGCACCACAGUCUCGCUGCACCUGCUCGUCCUGCGUUCCCUCCCCACCAACCUGGCAACCAAGGAUUCAUUCACUCGGCCCUAGGGUUGGUUUUUCCAGAAUGCCACCCGGCUGGAAUCAUGGAAUGCAGCCUUUUUUCCUUUUCUUUUUGGUAUCUAGGGUCUGGCCCAUGCCAGUUGCAAAAAGCAAUCAGACGAUCAUUGGAAAACACAGAAGAGCCCAAAGAAUGAAAUCAAAAUCUCCUAUUUAACCCGGGUACAGUGGCGCACGCCUGUCAUCCCAGCAGCUCAGGAGGCUG